AUUGAACGCUGGCGGAAUGCUUUACACAUGCAAGUCGAACGGACUUAAAGGGCUUGCUCUUUAAGUUAGUGGCGAACGGGUGAGUAAUAUAUCGGAACGUAUCCAAUAAUGGGGGAUAACUAAUCGAAAGGUUGGCUAAUACCGCAUACGUCCUACGGGAGAAAGCUAGGGACCUUCGGGCCUGGCGUUAAUGGAGCGGCCGAUAUCAGAUUAGCUAGUUGGUGGGGUAAAGGCUCACCAAGGCGACGAUCAGUAGCUGGUCUGAGAGGACGACCAGCCACACUGGAACUGAGACACGGUCCAGACUCCUACGGGAGGCAGCAGUGGGGAAUUUUGGACAAUGGGCGAAAGCCUGAUCCAGCCAUUCCGCGUGAGUGAAGAAGGCCUUCGGGUUGUAAAGCUCUUUCGCAAGGGAAGAACACUUAUCCUCUAACAUAGGAUGAGGUUGACGGUACCUUGAUAAGAAGCACCGGCUAACUACGUGCCAGCCGCCGCAGUAA
rnacentral:rRNA from 1 species